GCUGCGUUGACACUAUUACCGGAUUCGCUCUCACGUCAUCUUCAUUUGCAUUAAAAGAGUUAACUGUUCGGAGUAAAAGCUUAUUAAGUAGAUAGACUUAAUCUAUUGGACUAUGUUUCUGACGUUGAACAACUUCACUGCGUUUUAAUCCAAAGAAAAUUUAUCCUGCUACGAAAGUAAACAGCUGCGUUGAUGGCUGCAUUUACAUGUAUGUACAUCGAAGCAUUUUUGUUCCAGUUGAAUGCGUGCCAUUUUAUUAAAUUAAAAAGACGCAAAGUGAAAUAUUAGUCAGCAAUAUGCUUUUUGAGUUGGGUGCUGUGAUCGUCCUGAAGAUGGAAUCUGCAAACCACAUUUGUUAACGAAGUUGACGAAAGCUGAAGCUUUGCCACCUUCAUGAUAUUUUGUAGCAGUAUAAUCAUGGUCAUCUACGGAUAAAGACUUUGGUAAGGGACAAAGGUAUCGUUUGCAUUCUGGGGAAAAUAAAUUGUUGAUUAACUUCAAAACUAUGUAUCCUGCGAUGUAAAAUAUAACGUUCGAAAUAAAUUCGCUGUUGCCUUCGUGGAGAUGUCGCACCAUGGCAUGAAGUUUAUCGUCAGUGUCUUGGGCAGCAGUUUCUUGUUACUGAUUAUGUAAUGUGGGUGAAUGUUUCGUGGUAUGAAAAAGUGGUAACAGGUUGUUAAGGCCAGUAAAGUACAAACAGUGUGCAUUUUUUGAUGCAGUAAUAGCAUUUCUCAUCAACAUAUUUCGAAGGGCAUACAUUUGGAGAUUGUAAAAGGUGGUUGUUCCAUCCACCUCUUGAGCGAAUGAAGGAAAACAAGAAUUCAUUAUGGUCUUGUGAAUUUUUGUACGUCAAGAGAUACUUGAAUAGGUUAAUGGAUGAAGAGAGCAUCUGUGUUGCCAUUGAAACAGUGGAAUUGAUGCAGGCAUCUUCAAGCCCCGAAUUUACUUGUCAGCUAUAAGUAAACGAGGCAAAGCGGUCAGUAGCUGCAAAUCAGUCUAAUUUGAGAGCUGUGGGGCUCAAACUUUCAACCGAGAAAGAAACCCAGGAAUGAUUUUAGGAGUCCGAAGUUGGUGUUCAAGUCAUUUGCGAACUGGAUACGAAUAAAUUAAGCAGAAAAAGCGGAAUGAAGAUGGUUCAGAUACUAGUGGCUUACAUAAUUAAUCAGUUUGGAGAAGGGUUUGUGAAAAUGACGCUUGCUACACGCCAGGAAAAGGGAUUCAUUCUGCUACAGGGUGGUUGGAAGAACGGCUUAGAAAUGUUAGGAGAAAGAGCAUACAACACCGUCAGGCUGAACAAGAAUUUAGGCUCAACUUGAAGUUCUCUAAAACACUUGGCAAGAUCUCUACCAGUUUUAAGUGAAUUAGACCAUGAUGGAAUAAAGCAGUGGAUGAAAGACAACUGGGAGCCAAUCUCAACCCUAAAAAGUUAUAUGCAGAAGACCGUCUUAAAUCGAUCAGAAUGGAUUAGAAAAACGCUCCAACUUACAAUACGAGAGGUUAUGAAAGAAUACCCACGUCUUUUUUAUGUCUCUGGCAUGGUUGAAAUAGACUUUGCAACAUUGUA